rnacentral:ncRNA from 1 species
GAGAGCGCAGUACAACGGAGAGUUGUAUGCUGCGUUCGGGAAGGAUGAAUCGCUCCCAAGGAUGUAUGGGGGUUAAUUAGUUAUUUUGC